rnacentral:lncRNA from 1 species
UUCUGGGGACGUCUAGCUAACACCAGUCUGCCUCGCUCUUUUCUGGAACACACUGAGUGGGUGGGAGAGCCUUGGGUCUCUGGCCCCUAAGGAACCCCUUGCUUGAGGGCUGGAGUCCCUUGAACUGUCAUUCAUGUUAAACCCAGUAUUUGCAGAAACUGCCCGUGUGCCAGGCCUAGGGGUACAGAGACCCCUCCCUGCCCUUAGUGUGCAACCCAGUCGGGGGCAGAGGCGUGAUGACCCUUCACUGUGGCUGGACAGUGGAGGGCUGGCAAUCCAGGACCAGGGAAGGUUUCCUGGAGGAUGUGACGCUGGGGACAGAGCCAGGGGAUGAUAAGGCCAGGCACUGGACCUCCUGAUGAUCUCAUCCAUAUCCCCUCCAGCCAGCCCCCUGGGGAUGCCACAUGGAGCUGCUGCAUUUGUGGACACCUGCAGUGGGGACAAGAUGGACUGUGUCUCAGGGGUCUCGGUGCCUGAGGUCCUGGAAGAGGACAGGGAGCUGGACAGCACAGAGCGGGCCUGUGACACUCUGUUGAUGUGCAUCGUCACUGUCAUGAACCAUGGGCUACGCAACGGUGGUGGCGUGGGCGACAUUCUCCGCAAGCCCUCCAAAGAUGUGAGCACUCCUGCCCACUCCCAAACCUGU